GGUGGCUCAGUGGUAGAGUGCUUGCCUUGCAUGCAUGAGGCCCUGGGAUCAAUUCCUUGGCACCA
rnacentral:tRNA from 1 species